UAUGAGAGCGGUUCUGUUGAAUUUGUGUGCAGUCUGUUGUGUUCAGUCGAGAACUUAAUCAACCUUCAGAGCAGAGAGCUGAACUCUGUCGACUGUGAAGCCCUGUGAUUCAUUCUGCAAGAAUGUUCUGCAGUUUCACUCAACCUGCUGUGGACCUUCAUACCAGAUGAGGAGCUAGAGAGCAUUCUGUCUCUCUUCAAUCAUGGUUUUUGUAGUUUUCUUUUUAUUGCUUCCUUUUAACGUGUUAUAACUUAAGUUCUUAUUAUAAAAAUAGAAAUAUGAAAGUGUUAAAACAAAUGUCUACUUUGUACUUAUCCAUUAACCAAUACCAUAGUGCACUUGAGGUAACAUAACAACUGGUUUAUCAAGGGGGACUGUUUGUAUAAUGAAAUAAAAUUAUUAUAAUCUGUUUUGCAUCUAAAAUGGUAAAAUGGAAUCUCUCCUGACUUCUUUUUUGUGUUCAGUAUGGACAGACUGCUGUUACUGAAACUGCUUCACUGCUGCAGUGUCUCUGAUCUCCAGCAGGGGGCAUCAGUUCUGCUCUCCACUCUGCAGCACAUGCUGGACUUCUCUUGUGGUUCUGCACUGGACCUGACAGAAGACACACACACAGAGACUCUACAUUUGACCGCUGAGGACUGCUGUGUGAUAUCCACGGUCAUCUAGAGAGCUCACACACACACACACACACACACACCUGUUAACAGGACUGUGAGAUUAAUACAGCAGGAAUGGAUCAGAUCGUCCCAAUUUUAUACACUGUUAAACUCUGUUGUGAUAAAUCUCUGCUGCUUCAGUUCCUGGCUCACGUGCUGCCUGGAGAAGCUCAAUCUCUUUCUCUGGCCCUGGAUGAAGUAAUCGACCUCAGUCAGACUCAGCUGGACCUGCGGAUCUUUAGAGGUCUGGCGCUGGUUCUGGAAUAUUCUGAAGGACUGACAGAACUGGAUCUCAGUCUGUGUCAUCUCACUGAUCACAGCCUGGAUCUACUGCUCCCACACCUCCACAAAGCACAAAACAUUGAGAGAGCGACAGACAGACAGAAAUACACAAAGCAAGUCAAUGUUUUUGGAGUAUCCUGUAAUAAUUAUUGUGAUUUCUUUGUGGUUGUUUUUCUGCAGUUUUAGUGGUAAUAGUAUCACUGAUGAUGGGGCUCAGAAAAUCUACAGCAUCGUCUCUCACAACAGUAACAUAAAGACGGCUCUUCAACAACAGAAUUAAAUUCAGAGAGGUUUUCUGCACAAACCCAUGAUAUGAGAUCUGGCCAAUAAACUCUUUCUGCAAUGAGCUGACUGAGCUGCUGAAAUAGCCAAUCAGGAUCUUGAGAGGUGUGAAUAAAGUUAAGGUAGCAGGUGUGAACACUUUUGAAAAAUACACCAACUGGAGUCCCAGAGAAUAAUCACCCCAUCAGAUCGGAAUCACAUUCAUGUUAUAUAAUCAUAAUUUACAGCGUGUUUCUUUUGUGUGAAUUAAAAAACAUCAUAAUCUAGAUACAGAGAAGUAACAGGUACAGAGAAAUUGUACAUACAGUAAAUAAAUGGGUUCUAUGUCAAAAUGUUCAGCUGAUUUUAUAGCUGUUUGACAACUGAAUAUAGUUGUUUAUAGCUUUGAGUCAAAAUCAUCUAUCUUAUGAUUGGUUCUAAUUAAAACACAUUGCUUAAGUCUGAUGAGAUGUCUCUUCACAAAGAUGAAUGACUGGAGUUUAAAUAUAUUGCAUGCAUUUUACACUGAAAUGAAUUUUGUGAGCUGUUUUAAGUAAAAGUCAAGUGAACUUGUGCCAUUUGGUUUGCCUGUUAUCUCAGUAAGUUUUGAGUUGUUUUUUUUUUUUUUGUAGUAAGUGUAAAAUUUUAAAUCACA